ensembl:lncRNA
AAGCCCCUUCUCCCAUACACACACCAAUCCUUGCCUUCAGAGCUCCCGGCAAUCCUCUAACCAAGAACUUGUUCAUCUAUUAAGUCAACAUUACUGAAAGACCGCCACAUGCCGGGUGUUCUUAUCCACUAGCACAAGACCGUGAACCCAGGAGUUCUGAACGUGGGUAGAGGGUUAGAGAGGAAUGAAAAAACAAGGUUAUCAUUGAAGGUACUUGGACUACUCAGUGACGCCAUUAGACCCCAGGCUUGUUCCACCGUCUGCUUCUCCACCCUCUACUCAUGGGAAGUUUGUGCUGAUUGUUCCCUCUCAGUGGCAGUGGGGAUUUCCUGCCUAAGCCUGGAGACUACACCAGAUGACCUCGUCCACUAUAGGAGAACGAGGCUCUGAGGAGGUCCGUGAACUCACCCUUCCUGUUUUCUGGUCUUCUUAGGACAGAUGGAGAGGAUGAGCUUGCUCCUUCCAGGGAGAGGAUAGCACAGUUCUCCUGUGUGCCUCACCCUCGCCGCCCUGCAGGAAAAUAGGUCUGGGUAAACUCAGGGGUUUGAGGGUAGCUGUCUAAAGACAGCUACAGUGUACUUAGAAAUAAUAAACAAAUGAAU